GCACUGCAGAAGAGUCUUAUAAUAGGACGAAACGGCCGUCCAGUGC
rfam:Schistosoma mansoni strain Puerto Rico chromosome 4, complete genome